rnacentral:rRNA from 1 species
UACGUGGGUGGCAAGCGUUAUCCGGAAUUAUUGGGCGUAAAGCGCGCGCAGGCGGUUUCUUAAGUCUGAUGUGAAAGCCCACGGCUCAACCGUGGAGGGUCAUUGGAAACUGGGGAACUUGAGUGCAGAAGAGGAAAGUGGAAUUCCAAGUGUAGCGGUGAAAUGCGUAGAGAUUUGGAGGAACACCAGUGGCGAAGGCGACUUUCUGGUCUGUAACUGACACUGAGGCGCGAAAGCGUGGGGAGCGAACAGG